rnacentral:rRNA from 1 species
CUCAAUGCGGGUGCCUAUACAUGCAGUUGAGCGCUGAAGGUUGGUACUUGUACCAACUGGAUGAGCAGCGAACGGGUGAGUAACGCGUGGGGAAUCUGCCUUUGAGCGGGGGACAACAUUUGGAAACGAAUGCUAAUACCGCAUAAAAACUUUAAACACAAGUUUUAAGUUUGAAAGAUGCAAUUGCAUCACUCAAAGAUGAUCCCGCGUUGUAUUAGCUAGUUGGUGAGGUAAAGGCUCACCAAGGCGAUGAUACAUAGCCGACCUGAGAGGGUGAUCGGCCACAUUGGGACUGAGACACGGCCCAAACUCCUACGGGAGGCAGCAGUAGGGAAUCUUCGGCAAUGGACGAAAGUCUGACCGAGCAACGCCGCGUGAGUGAAGAAGGUUUUCGGAUCGUAAAACUCUGUUGGUAGAGAAGAACGUUGGUGAGAGUGGAAAGCUCAUCAAGUGACGGUAACUACCCAGAAAGGGACGGCUAACUACGUGCCAGCAGCCGCGGUAAUACGUAGGUCCCGAGCGUUGUCCGGAUUUAUUGGGCGUAAAGCGAGCGCAGGUGGUUUAUUAAGUCUGGUGUAAAAGGCAGUGGCUCAACCAUUG